rnacentral:rRNA from 1 species
UACGGAGGGUGCAAGCGUUGUCCGGAUUUAUUGGGUUUAAAGGGUGCGUAGGCGGCUUAGUAAGUCCGUGGUGAAAGCCAACAGCUCAACUGUUGAACUGCCAUGGAUACUGCUAGGCUUGAGUACAGACGAGGUAGGCGGAAUGGAUAGUGUAGCGGUGAAAUGCAUAGAUACUAUCCAGAACUCCGAUUGCGUAGGCAGCUUACUAGGCUGUAACUGACGCUGAGGCACGAAAGCGUGGGGAUCGAACAGG